UACAGAGGUCUCAAGCGUUGUUCGGAAUCACUGGGCGUAAAGGGUGCGUAGGCGGCCUGGUAAGCGUGCGGUGAAAGCCCGGGGCUCAACCCCGGGUCGGCCGUGCGAACUGCGAGGCUGGAGCACUGUAGAGGCAGGUGGAAUUCCGGGUGUAGCGAUGGAAUGCGUAGAGAUCCGGAAGAACACCGGUGGCGAAGGCGGCCUGCUGGGCAGUGGCUGACGCUGAGGCGCGACAGCGUGGGGAGCAAACAGG
rnacentral:rRNA from 1 species